AAGUCGCCUAGACGUGGACACCGCCUAGAGGUGGACAGUUGAAGUUUCACUUCUUACCACGGAACGAAUUGGUCAUCAACCGCGACACGGUUUGUUGUAGUAGCAAGCACUGCGUCGUACCUUCUCGGGACAGGACGCUCUUCCAGUUGACGCCACGUUUUCUUACUUUUUCCCGUAUGUUUAGAUAGUAGCCUCGAGUAUCCUGCCACUGCGAAAUCAUGACAAUCGUGCAGCGUUACAUAUUCAACGCAAGCAGUCACCGUUGUACGUUGGUUGCACAGCCUAUGCCUUACUCUACUGUACACCAUGCAGAUUUCUUUAUUCACCUCUGAGCAGCAGCUAGAAUCGAGCAACUUGUAAUCAAAAGUGGGCGGGCCUGGGAAGUUGCACACACAGGACUCAGAUCCAACACAAGGACAGAACACAAGAGACAGACGACUGCUGCCAUCUCAUGAAGAAAAUGGCAAAGGAAGGAAAGCUAC